AUUGAACGCUGGCGGCAGGCCUAACACAUGCAAGUCGAGCGGCAGCGGGAAAGUAGCUUGCUACUUUUGCCGGCGAGCGGCGGACGGGUGAGUAAUGCCUGGGAAAUUGCCCAGUCGAGGGGGAUAACAGUUGGAAACGACUGCUAAUACCGCAUACGCCCUACGGGGAAAAGCAGGGGACCUUCGGGCCUUGCGCGAUUGGAUAUGCCCAGGUGGGAUUAGCUAGUUGGUGAGGUAAUGGCUCACCAAGGCGACGAUCCCUAGCUGAUCUGAGAGGAUGAUCAGCCACACUGGAACUGAGACACGGUCCAGACUCCUACGGGAGGCAGCAGUGGGGAAUAUUGCACAAUGGGGGAAACCCUGAUGCAGCCAUGCCGCGUGUGUGAAGAAGGCCUUCGGGUUGUAAAGCACUUUCAGCGAGGAGGAAAGGUCAGUAGCUAAUAUCUGCUGACUGUGACGUUACUCGCAGAAGAAGCACCGGCUAACUCCGUGCCAGCCGCCGCGGUAAAAC
rnacentral:rRNA from 1 species